GAGCACGCCGCGUGAGGGACGAAGGCCUCUGGGCUGUAAACCUCUUUUCUCAAGGAAGAAGACAUGACGGUACUUGAGGAAUAAGCCACGGCUAAUUCCGUGCCAGCAGCCGCGGUAAUACGGGAGUGGCAAGCGUUAUCCGGAAUUAUUGGGCGUAAAGCGUCCGCAGGCGGCCUUGGAAGUCUGUUGUUAAAGCGUGGAGCUCAACUCCAUUUAAGCAAUGGAAACUACAAGGCUAGAGUGUGGUAGGGGCAGAGGGAAUUCCCGGUGUAGCGGUGAAAUGCGUAGAUAUCGGGAAGAACACCAGUGGCGAAGGCGCUCUGCUGGGCCAUAACUGACGCUCAUGGACGAAAGCCAGGGGAGCGAAAGGGAUUAGAUACCCCUGUAGUCCUGGCCGUAAACGAUGAACACUAGGUGUCGGGAGAAUUAACCCUUCCGGUGUCGUAGCCAACGCGUUAAGUGUUCCGCCUGGGGAGUACGCACGCAAGUGUGAAACUCAAAGGAAUUGACGGGGGCCCGCACAAGCGGUGGAGUAUGUGGUUUAAUUCGAUGCAACGCGAAGAACCUUACCAGGGUUUGACAUCCUGCGAAUCCCUUGGAAACGAGGGAGUGCCUUCGGGAACGCAGUGACAGGUGGUGCAUGGCUGUCGUCAGCUCGUGUCGUGAGAUGUUGGGUUAAGUCCCGCAACGAGCGCAACCCACGUCUUUAGUUGCCAGCAUUCAGUUGGGCACUCUAGAGAGACCGCCGGUGAUAAACCGGAGGAAGGUGUGGAUGACGUCAAGUCAUCAUGCCCCUUACAUCCUGGGCUACACACGUACUACAAUGCUACGGACAAAGGGCAGCAAACUCGCGAGAGCUAGCAAAUCCCAUAAACCGUGGCUCAGUUCAGAUCGUAGGCUGCAACUCGCCUACGUGAAGGAGGAAUCGCUAGUAAUCGCAGGUCAGCAUACUGCGGUGAAUACGUUCCCGGGCCUUGUACACACCGCCCGUCACACCAUGGAAGUUGGCCAUGCCCGAAGUCGUUACUCCAACCCGCAAGGGAGGAGGACGCCGAAGGUGGGGCUGAUGACUGGGGUGAAGUCGUAACAAGGUAGCCGUACCGGAAGGUG
rnacentral:rRNA from 1 species